rnacentral:ncRNA from 1 species
ACCUUGCUGACGAACUGAACGGCAUCCAGCAGCGAGAACUGGGCAGGGU